AAACCAGCACCUCAAGUGGUCAGGAUGAUUAUUGGGCCUAAAGCAUCCGUAGCCUGCUUUGCCAGUUUUCGGUUAAAUCCAUACGCUUAACGUAUGGGCUGCCGGAAAUACUACAAAGCUAGGGAGUGGGAGAGGUAGACGGUACUCGGGAGGAAGUGGUAAAAUGCUUUGAUCUCUCGAUGACCACCUGUGGCGAAGGCGGUCUACCAGAACACGUCCGACGGUGAGGGAUGAAAGCUGGGGGAGCAAACCGGAUUAGAAACCCCAGUAGUCC
rnacentral:rRNA from 1 species